UACGUAGGGGGCAAGCGUUGUCCGGAUUUAUUGGGCGUAAAGAGCGUGUAGGCGGCUUGGUAGGUCCGCUGUGAAAACUCGAGGCUCAACCUCGAGAUGUCGGCGGAAACCACUUGGCUAGAGUCCGGAAGAGGAGAGUGGAAUUCCUGGUGUAGCGGUGAAAUGCGCAGAUAUCAGGAGGAACACCGGUGGCGAAGGCGGAUCUCUGGGCCUUACCUGACGCUGAGGCGCGAAAGCUAGGGGAGCGAACAGG
rnacentral:rRNA from 1 species